GACAGAGGGUGCGAACGUUGUCCGGAAUCAUUGGGCGUAAAGCGCGUGUAGGCGGUUCGGUAAGUCCGCUGUGAAAGUCGGGGGGCUCAACCCUCGGAUGCCGGUGGAUACUGUCGGGCUUGAGUACGGAAGAGGCGAGUGGAAUUCCUGGUGUAGCGGUGAAAUGCGCAGAUAUCAGGAGGAACACCAAUUGCGAAGGCAGCUCGCUGGGACGUUACUGACGCUGAGACGCGAAAGCGUGGGGAGCAAACAGG
rnacentral:rRNA from 1 species